CACUUGACAGAGUAGGGAAACUUGAAGUGUGAUAGACUUCUCUGUAACCUGUGUCACUUACUCUGUUGCUGAACCAGGAAUUGAACCCAGGUCUUCUGACUUUCUCCAAUGCUAUAGCCACUAAACUGUGCCUGCUACAUCCUUUAUAGUGGCAAAUUCAUCUUAAUGGAUAUUAACCCAAAUAUGAAGCCAACAAUUUAAAUGUCUGUAUUAACUUUCACUGAGCUUUUGCAGAAACAUACCACAGUCAAACUGCUGCUCUCCUGGGUUCCCAGCUGCCAGAUUCUCCAGCUUCCCUACCCUGAAAACCUUGAUGUUUCUGAAGUUUUUCCUCUACACUUUGAGGACUGGUUGCUUUCCUUUUACAGUGUUUGGGAAGAGUUCCAAAAUUCUCCUAAAUUGUCAGGAGAAGGUCUGCAGUGCCAUGAUGUGUGAGAUAGGGAUGAAUGCAUUUCAUCAUGGGUGCUUUUCUGGAGAUGGACCAGCUGCCUGAACAACAUGC
rnacentral:lncRNA from 1 species